CUGACUGAGAAAACAGUAGAAGCUGUCAAACUGUAAAUAUAUGUAAUUGUUACAGUGCUUUAAAACUUUCAACUUGGGUUUGCAAACAAUAUACAUAUUUUCCCACUCCUUUUAUUUUUCUAUAUCUUUACAGCAGAAGCGUAAACCUCCUUACAGCCCAACUGUUGCCAAACAAACUUUAACCAACAGAUAACUACUUUGAACAUGGCAGUAACAGACAGUUUUUUUCUCAUCCUAUUGUCCACUCAUCUGGUUCAUAGCUGCCCAUUUUGGCUACUAGAAUCCCAUGGGAAACUUUGUCAAAAAUCUUCCUAAAGUCAAGGUCACCUUCUUGUGGGUUUUGGCCUAUUCAUUCCUUAAACAACCCAUCAUCUCCCCUUCUGAAAUUCCUGGAGCAUUUCUUCCUCACUUACCUCAAGACUUCAGAAUACCAUUGGUGAAACACAUAGAAUUUGUUUUAUUAUUUCCUAUGAAUAAUAUAAUUGCUAAAAAUAAAGCGUAUUAUAUUUGCUAUCACUUUUCUAAGGAUUAUUAUUUUAAGAAUCACAAACUUAACAACAACAACAAAAAAAAGAAAAAUAAAAAA